rnacentral:rRNA from 1 species
GAUGAACGCUGGCGGCGUGCUUAACACAUGCAAGUCGAACGAAGCAUUUGCGACAGAUUUUUUCGGAAUGAAGUUGCUUAUGACUGAGUGGCGGACGGGUGAGUAACGCGUGGGUAACCUGCCUUGUACUGGGGGAUAGCAGCUGGAAACGGCUGGUAAUACCGCAUAAGCGCACAAUGUUGCAUGACAUGGUGUGAAAAACUCCGGUGGUAUAAGAUGGACCCGCGUCUGAUUAGCUAGUUGGUGAGAUAACAGCCCACCAAGGCGACGAUCAGUAGCCGACCUGAGAGGGUGACCGGCCACAUUGGGACUGAGACACGGCCCAGACUCCUACGGGAGGCAGCAGUGGGGAAUAUUGCAAAAUGGAGGAAACUCUGAUGCAGCGACGCCGCGUGAGUGAAGAAGUAAUUCGUUAUGUAAAGCUCUAUCAGCAGGGAAGAUAGUGACGGUACCUGACUAAGAAGCUCCGGCUAAAUACGUG